AUUUUGUGUGCGUGGGGUGUAGCGGCGGCUUGCCAGUGGUGUGUGUUGGCUUGAGCUUUAGAAGCCUGCACACCUCUACCCUCGUGUAUUAGUUGGAAUUGCAUUUAUGUCCGUGAAAAAAAAGGUAAAUAUAGAGAAUAAUGUCACAUUGGUGUGGUUGGGGCAGCUGGAUUAAUGCGCGGUUGCUGCAAUGAGACAAGGAAAUCGCUUCCUGUGCAGAGCAGGGCGAGCGAUUAAAACACCGCCUCUCCGCGCUGCAGCUCAGUCACUCGCAAAAAUCACUCUUCCUCUGCAGCGCUCUCCCCCUCACCCUCACCUAGCAGGCGGCGAGUUCUUGCUUCAUCCCAUCUGCGCAAGCCCAGCAAUGCAAGUGCUUGCGUAUGAUGGGGCGUCUUGGGACGCGGUCGAAUGGGGCCGCGAUGGGCAGCAGCUCGAGCGCGGUCCCAAGUGCGAACACUUCGGCGCCCCAACCAACCCACGGUGGCCGGAGAUGAGAAUGCGAGCGGCGAAUUUGAUGCAGACUGCGGCAAGGUCCGGGUUAUGAACUAUCUAUCCCCUAAGCUAGUCAAUGCGGUCGUUGCUCGUCUCACUGAUUCGCAAAAGAGGCUUUUCGCUGAGAAGGACUUUGGCGCCAUGUUGUCCCUUCCGGGGCUGCUAAAUAUAGACCGUCAGUACAUUUUCUGGAACGCAACUAGGAUAGAUCCAAUUAGUAGAACCGUUCGUAUGUGCGAUGGCAGUUCCCGGCCAGUGGCGGCUAAUGCUAUAAGGGAUGUGGUCGGUCUGGGUACGGGCGACAGGGAGAUCCCCUUCCCGCAUGAGCCUGGCUGUGUCGAUCGUGAUGUCUUGAGGGAUGUGUGUGCCGGUCUGGGUCUAGAUGCAUCGGUAGAUAGGAUCACAUUGAGAAUGCUAGAGUCGGUGCUUGCUUCCCCAGGCGAUCUAAGUGUUGAAUCUGAGGCCAACAGGCAGUGUGCUGCGUUCGCUCUUCUCUGUACUGCUUGUUUGUUCAACCCUAAAGCAAACCGGAGGGAGGAUCCAAUAAGCCCUGAGGUGUUUGUUGCUGUGCGUUAUCCAUCAAAGAUGUUUGAGUUUGACUGGUGUGGGUACAUAAAAGUUGUAAUAAUGACUGGUGUGAGCAAAAUGCGAGAAGAUCUGGAAGCCGGUGCAACUAUGGUGCACUUGCAAGGGUUCCUGAUGGUGCCUCAGGUGAUUGCAUUUGAUGCGAUGGUUGCUGGGCGGGGUUUGCAACCUGGGCGUCACCGGAUGACGGUGUAUGACGUUGAGGACUUCCGCCUGCUUGCUGCUCUUGACUCUGAUCUUAUAAGCAAUGGAGGGCACAUGAUGUACGGCAGAGCUAAGAUUAGGCCUGACGGUGCGCGGGAUGCUGCUGGCAACUUAGCGGCCAUGGACAUGCCUUCUGCUACAGAAGCUGUCCCUGACCCAGGCGCCGGUCCGAGGGAGAAAAUAGUUUUGUUGUCAAGUGUUCCCGGGUGGCAGGCAGAGGUGGUUGAGUAUUUGAGCACCGUCAUGCAUGCACACAUGUCCUCUGUUUGUGAGGAAAAUAUGAAUUUGAGGAACCAUCUUGAGUCUUGCAUGACCAGUGUGCUCGCGAUGAUAGACAGUCGUAAUGACAGCAAUGUCAACUCGGUGAAUGAGAUGCUUGGCUGUGCGAUUUCAAAAGUUGGUGAUUUCCGGCAGAAAGUGGUUGGUGGUGAGGUUUGCUUCCUUAAUACUAAUGUGACAGCGGUGACAUGGCAUCAUUAGGAGAGGGUUACUGUAGCUUAAUUAUCAGGGCGUCACAGUACCUCAAGCAGCAGGGCCAUCAACUUCUAGGAUGGUGAACCCAAGUAUAAGGAAGCGGCUUGGCACGGAUGUAAUGACUUCCUUUGGGGCUGGCUCAGCUUUCGUGCAGACUGGUGUUGGUGGUUUUGGGUCCGGCGAUCAAAUUGGUGUGAUUCCUAAUGCAAGAACGCUUUUUGGGCCGUUCCCCAGCCCAGAUAGCCUUGACUUGAAUCGCCGCAUCUCUUUGAGGGAGGCUUGUUCCACAAGCAACGGAAAUGGUAAUGUGGCUAGGCGUCUUGAUCUGAAUAUGACAAAUGAUGUUCGGAAUUUCAUAGAUGGGACACCGUUUGUUGGGCCAAUGAACCCUGUCGGGGUGGACACGAACUUGACGAUUGGUCCCUCGCCUGCCAGAUCACCUACUGCUGAUUUGCGUUCCCGCCCACUAUCGCAAAGCAACUUGCUUGGGUGGUUUGCAGUAGCCCCCCUCCCCCCCCCAAGUAAGCGCACAAGGAUGACAACUGACUAUUCAAUUGCAAACCCGAUUGGAGUGGCUGUCUCUGAGAUGGAGGGCAGGAGAAGAGACGAUCGUUUCUAGCCAGGGCCAUGGAUUCAUCAUUCAAUGAUUUAUAUAGGCCGUGGUUCAAGCAUGGGCGGCCGUACCUUAUGCAGAUGACUGGUGAAGAAGUGGUGGAAGAAUUCCGCAUAGAAAAUCAUCUUGCUCAGCAAGGACUGGAAUCAAUCCUGCGUUUGGGGCUCUGCCCCAGGGGAUCAGGGAGACUCAUCAUUGGACCUGACUGGGCGUUCAAAGUUGCAUACACAGACUCAUACUGGCUGAGGGAAGAUGUCCGCUCAAUGUUUAAUCAGCUACCGCUUGGUGUGCCAUUAGUUCUGGGGCUGGUUGUGGUGUACCUGGACCAGGGGUGGAGUUUGUACGUCUUUGACAUCCUGUGUAGAGUUCUCCAUAUCAUUGAUCCGAACAUCUCCAAGCCUGGGAAAAGCAGGAUGAAAGCAAAACACUUGCAGAAUGUGGGUGAGCUACUUGAUGCAUUCGUGAAGUGUGGUGACAUUUUCUGGGGGCAAGGGAAGGUGCCACAUAAUGGGUGGUCUUAUUGUUUCCAUGCUACAGGUGCCUAUGAGAGCACGGACACGGCGAUGCAGGUAGUCCACCACAUCAUCAACUUUGUGCCUGGGUAACACCCGCUGAACUUGACUGAGGCUGCUUCGGUUGCUCUGAAGAAGAAGCUCCUUCGCGCUGUACUCACGAUGGCGGGGAACACUGGGAGUCUGCCCCGACGUGUGGAAGCCUGAGUGCCUUCCAGAAGGCCUGGUUAGCCCCAACAAGAAGACCAGGCGCUUGCUUAUACUUGCAAGCAUGAUGAUUUUUGUUUCAUUGUGGCUAAGUAAUUCACACGAAUUGCGAGGGAGCUUGUGUUGAUUGGCUCGUCGUAUGCCAGAUAUAUGGAACGUAUCAGCUAUAUAUUUGGUAAAGAUCGGUACUGCGACAACGACUGGUGCAUGGGCCUUAGAUACGUGCAUAUGUGGUAAAGUGUUUACGUUAUAC